rnacentral:misc_RNA from 1 species
GCUGCUACGAGGUCCAAUGUCUCCAUUCUCUUCAUCAACAAACACUACAGACUCUUUUCCCUCCAAAUUUUCUCCCUCUCUCACAACUCUCAUGAAGUCACCAAGAGAAACGAAAUCCUGAACCAAAUAUUCUGGAUCAAAACAUCAAGUAAACAAGAAAAUCCAAUUUGGGUUUCUUCUUUCAAGAAAUAUCUGCUAACCUCUGUUUCGCUCAAGAAGUACCCAUCUCCUGCAAUCAAGAUUCCCCUUUU